GUUAGCUGGGUCAUAACAAACCAGCUUCUUGAUUAGAGAGAUUUCAUCUAGGGAACGAUUGGGGAGACAGGCUUCUAAACUAAUGGGCUUUUCAAUCUUAGCAAAAGAAAUUGUUCCAUAAUCAGGAAGUUUUAAACAGCCUGGCCACACUUCCUCCGUUAAAUUGCCCAAAACAUUAAUAAUUCUGCCGAGUUGAUCUAUAUCGGAUGUCCCUGGGAAAAGGGGCUCAAGGGU
rnacentral:misc_RNA from 1 species